AGAAUCAACGCUGGCGGCGUGCCUAACACAUGCAAGUCGAACGAGAAAGGGAGCAAUCCCUGAGUACAGUGGCGACCGGGUGAGUAACACGUGACUAACCUACCCUCGAGUGUGGAAUAACAUCGGGAAACCGAUGCUAAUACCGCAUAAUAUCGCAAGAUCAAAGGAGUAAUCCGCUUGAGGAGGGGGUUCGCGGCUGAUUAGCUAGUUGGCGGGGUAAUGGCCCACCAAGGCGAAGAUCGGUA
rnacentral:rRNA from 1 species